rnacentral:rRNA from 1 species
GAUGAACGCUAGCGGCAGGCCUAACACAUGCAAGUCGAGGGAGGAGCUUUCGGGCUUCGACCGGCGUACGGGUGCGUAACGCGUAUACAAUCUGCCUUUCACAUAGGGAUAGCCCGAAGAAAUUUGGAUUAAUACCUAAUGGUAUAUAGGAGUGGCAUCACAUUUAUAUUAAAGCUGAGGCGGUGAAAGAUGAGUAUGCGUUCUAUUAGCUAGUUGGAGAGGUAACGGCUCCCCAAGGCGACGAUAGAUAGGGGUUCUGAGAGGGAUAUCCCCCACACUGGGACUGAGAUACGGACCAGACUCGUACGGGAGGCAGCAGUGAGGAAUAUUGGACAAUGGUCGGAAGACUGAUCCAGCCAUGCCGCGAGCAGGAAGACGGCAUUAUGGGUUGUAAACUGCUUGUGCAGGGGAAGAAUAAGGACUACGAGUAGUUUGAUGACGGUACUCUGCGAAUAAGCAUCGGCUAACUCCGUG